CCUACGGGUGGCAGCAGUGAGGAAUAUUGGUCAAUGGACGAGAGUCUGAACCAGCCAAGUAGCGUGAAGGAUGACUGCCCUAUGGGUUGUAAACUUCUUUUAUAAAGGAAUAAAACGAGGCACGUGUGCCUUUUUGCAUGUACUUUAUGAAUAAGGAUCGGCUAACUCCGUGCCAGCAGCCGCGGUAAUACGGAGGAUCCGAGCGUUAUCCGGAUUUAUUGGGUUUAAAGGGAGCGUAGAUGGGUUGUUAAGUCAGUUGUGAAAGUUUGCGGCUCAACCGUAAAAUUGCAAUUGAUACUGGCAGUCUUGAGUACAGUUGAGGUAGGCGGAAUUCGUGGUGUAGCGGUGAAAUGCUUAGAUAUCACGAAGAACCCCGAUUGCGAAGGCAGCUUACUAAACUGUAACUGACGCUGAGGUUCGAAAGCGUGGGUAGCAAACAGGAUUAGAUACCCGUGUAGUC
rnacentral:rRNA from 1 species